rnacentral:rRNA from 1 species
AAGGCGUAGUCGAUGGGAAACGGGUUAAUAUUCCCGUACUUGGUGUUACUGCGAAGGGGGGACGGAGAAGGCUAUGUUGGCCGGGCGACGGUUGUCCCGGUUUAAGCGUGUAGGCUGGUUUUCCAGGCAAAUCCGGAAAAUCAAGGCUGAGGCGUGACGACGAGGCACUACGGUGCUGAAGCAACAAAUGCCCUGCUUCCAGGAAAAGCCUCUAAGCAUCAGGUAACAUCAAAUCGUACCCCAAACCGACACAGGUGGUCAGGUAGAGAAUACCAAGGCGCUUGAGAGAACUCGGGUGAAGGAACUAGGCAAAAUGGUGCCGUAACUUCGGGAGAAGGCACGCUGACACGUAGGUGAAGUGAUUUACUCAUGGAGCUGAAGUCAGUCGAAGAUACCAGCUGGCUGCAACUGUUUAUUAAAAACACAGCACUGUGCAAACACGAAAGUGGACGUAUACGGUGUGACGCCUGCCCGGUGCCGGAAGGUUAAUUGAUGGGGUCAGCGCAAGCGAAGCUCCUGAUCGAAGCCCCGGUAAACGGCGGCCGUAACUAUAACGGUCCUAAGGUAGCGAAAUUCCUUGUCGGGUAAGUUCCGACCUGCACGAAUGGCGUAAUGAUGGCCAGGCUGUCUCCACCCGAGACUCAGUGAAAUUGAACUCGCUGUGAAGAUGCAGUGUACCCGCGGCAAGACGGAAAGACCCCGUGAACCUUUACUAUAGCUUGACACUGAACAUUGAGCCUUGAUGUGUAGGAUAGGUGGGAGGCUUUGAAGUGUGGACGCCAGUCUGCAUGGAGCCGACCUUGAAAUACCACCCUUUAAUGUUUGAUGUUCUAACGUGGACCCGUGAUCCGGGUUGCGGACAGUGUCUGGUGGGUAGUUUGACUGGGGCGGUCUCCUCCUAAAGAGUAACGGAGGAGCACGAAGGUUGGCUAAUCCUGGUCGGACAUCAGGAGGUUAGUGCAAUGGCAUAAGCCAGCUUGACUGCGAGCGUGACGGCGCGAGCAGGUGCGAAAGCAGGUCAUAGUGAUCCGGUGGUUCUGAAUGGAAGGGCCAUCGCUCAACGGAUAAAAGGUACUCCGGGGAUAACAGGCUGAUACCGCCCAAGAGUUCAUAUCGACGGCGGUGUUUGGCACCUCGAUGUCGGCUCAUCACAUCCUGGGGCUGAAGUAGGUCCCAAGGGUAUGGCUGUUCGCCAUUUAAAGUGGUACGCGAGCUGGGUUUAGAACGUCGUGAGACAGUUCGGUCCCUAUCUGCCGUGGGCGCUGGAGAACUGAGGGGGGCUGCUCCUAGUACGAGAGGACCGGAGUGGACGCAUCACUGGUGUUCGGGUUGUCAUGCCAAUGGCACUGCCCGGUAGCUAAAUGCGGAAGAGAUAAGUGCUGAAAGCAUCUAAGCACGAAACUUGCCCCGAG